CGUUGAAAUACCGGUUCCCGUACGAUCACCAAAGUUAAGCAACAUCGACCUUGGGGAGUACCCAGAUGGGUGACUGCUUAGGAAUAUCAGCUGCU